rnacentral:rRNA from 1 species
UACCGGCGGCUCGAGUGGUGGCCACUUUUAUUGGGCUUAAAGCGUUCGUAGCUGGGUUGUUAAGUCUCUUGGGAAAUCUGGCAGCUUAACUGUCAGGCGUCUAAGAGAUACUGGCAAUCUAGGAACCGGGAGAGGUGAGGGGUACUUCGGGGGUAGGAGUGAAAUCCUGUAAUCCUCGAGGGACCACCUGUGGCGAAGGCGCCUCACCAGAACGGCUUCGACAGUGAGGGACGAAAGCUGGGGGAGCAAACCGGAUUAGAUACCCGGGUAGUCCCAGCCGUAAACGAUGCGCGUUAGGUGUGUCGAUGACCACGAGUCAUCGAGGUGCCGAAGGGAAACCGUGAAACGCGCCGCCUGGGAAGUACGGUCGCAAGGCUGAAACUUAAAGGAAUUGGCGGGGGAGCACCACAACAGGUGGAGCCUGCGGUUUAAUUGGACUCAACGCCGGGAAGCUCACCGGAUAGGACAGCAGAAUGAUUGCCGGGCUGAAGACUCUGCAUGACUAGCU